GUUUUACCCUAACCCCUUAUUUAUUCUAACCCAGUCGGCACGAAAAACGUUCAGUGUUGUUCAAGGCCAAGUACUUCUUUUGAAAUGCACUUGAGAUAAUUAGGCUCAAGGAUUCCAGAUGACUUUAUCACAAUUCCCCCCGCAACUAAGCAACCAAGAAAAGAGAUAGUUAUGCAACGCGUUGUAAUAUAACAGUGUUGAACUUGUCAAAAUAG